rnacentral:rRNA from 1 species
CCUACGGGGUGCUGCAGUGGGGAAUAUUGGGCAAUGGGCGCAAGCCUGACCCAGCAAUGCCGCGUGAAGGAAGAAGGCUUUCGGGUUGUAAACUUCUUUGACAGGGGAAGAGCAGAAGACGGUACCCUGAAAACAAGCCACGGCUAACUACGUGCCAGCAGCCGCGGUAAUACGUAGGUGGCAAGCGUUGUCCGGCUUUACUGGGUGUAAAGGGCGUGUAGCCGGGAAGGCAAGUCAGAUGUGAAAUCUGGAGGCUCAACCUCCAAAUUGCAUUUGAAACUGUUUUUCUUGAGUACUGGAGAGGCAGACGGAAUUCCUUGUGUAGCGGUGAAAUGCGUAGAUAGAAGGAGGAACACCAGUGGCGAAGGCGGUCUGCUGGACAGCAACUGACGGUGAGGCGCGAAAGCGUGGGGAGCAAACAGGAUUAGAUACCCCGGUAGUC